rnacentral:rRNA from 1 species
GACGAAGGGGGCUAGCGUUGUUCGGAAUUACUGGGCGUAAAGCGCGCGUAGGCGGACCUGCAAGUCGGGGGUGAAAGCCCGAGGCUCAACCUCGGAACUGCCUUCGAUACUGCGGGUCUCGAGUCCGGGAGAGGUGAGUGGAAUUCCUAGUGUAGAGGUGAAAUUCGUAGAUAUUAGGAAGAACACCAGUGGCGAAGGCGGCUCACUGGCUCGGUACUGACGCUGAGGCGCGAAAGCGUGGGGAGCAAACAGG